rnacentral:rRNA from 1 species
UUAAGCGACUAAGCGUACACGGUGGAUGCCCUGGCAGUCAGAGGCGAUGAAGGACGUGCUAAUCUGCGAAAAGCGUCGGUAAGGUGAUAUGAACCGUUAUAGCCGGCGAUGUCCGAAUGGGGAAACCCAGUGCAAUUCGUUGCACUAUCGUUAACUGAAUACAUAGGUUAACGAGGCGAACCGGGGGAACUGAAACAUCUAAGUACCCCGAGGAAAAGAAAUCAACCGAGAUUCCCCCAGUAGCGGCGAGCGAACGGGGAGCAGCCCAGAGUCUGAAUCAGCUUGUGUGUUAGUGGAACGGUCUGGAAAGUCCGACGGUACAGGGUGAUAGUCCCGUACACCAAAAUGCACAGGUUGUGAACUCGAAGAGUAGGGCGGGACACGUGGUAUCCUGUCUGAAUAUGGGGGGACCAUCCUCCAAGGCUAAAUACUCCUGACUGACCGAUAGUGAACCAGUACCGUGAGGGAAAGGCGAAAAGAACCCCGGCGAGGGGAGUGAAAAAGAACCUGAAACCGUGUACGUACAAGCAGUGGGAGCACCUUCGGGUGUGACUGCGUACCUUUUGUAUAAUGGGUCAGCGACUUAUAUUCUGUAGCAAGGUUAACCGUAUAGGGGAGCCGCAGGGAAACCGAGUCUUAACUGGGCGUUAAGUUGCAGGGUAUAGACCCGAAACCCGGUGAUCUAGCCAUGGGCAGGUUGAAGGUUGGGUAACACUAACUGGAGGACCGAACCGACUAAUGUUGAAAAAUUAGCGGAUGACUUGUGGCUGGGGGUGAAAGGCCAAUCAAACCGGGAGAUAGCUGGUUCUCCCCGAAAGCUAUUUAGGUAGCGCCUCGUGAACUCAUCUUCGGGGGUAGAGCACUGUUUCGGCUAGGGGGUCAUCCCGACUUACCAACCCGAUGCAAACUACGAAUACCGAAGAAUGUUAUCACGGGAGACACACGGCGGGUGCUAACGUCCGUCGUGAAGAGGGAAACAACCCAGACCGCCAGCUAAGGUCCCAAAGUCAUGGUUAAGUGGGAAACGAUGUGGGAAGGCACAGACAGCCAGGAUGUUGGCUUAGAAGCAGCCAUCAUUUAAAGAAAGCGUAAUAGCUCACUGGUCGAGUCGGCCUGCGCGGAAGAUGUAACGGGGCUAAACCAUGCACCGAAGCUGCGGCAGCGACACUAUGUGUUGUUGGGUAGGGGAGCGUUCUGUAAGCCUGCGAAGGUGUGCUGUGAGGCAUGCUGGAGGUAUCAGAAGUGCGAAUGCUGACAUAAGUAACGAUAAAGCGGGUGAAAAGCCCGCUCGCCGGAAGACCAAGGGUUCCUGUCCAACGUUAAUCGGGGCAGGGUGAGUCGACCCCUAAGGCGAGGCCGAAAGGCGUAGUCGAUGGGAAACAGGUUAAUAUUCCUGUACUUGGUGUUACUGCGAAGGGGGGACGGAGAAGGCUAUGUUAGCCGGGCGACGGUUGUCCCGGUUUAAGCAUGUAGGCUGAUUGUCCAGGCAAAUCCGGAUAAUCAAGGCUGAGGUGUGAUGACGAGGCACUACGGUGCUGAAGUAACAAAUGCCCUGCUUCCAGGAAAAGCCUCUAAGCAUCAGGUAACAUCAAAUCGUACCCCAAACCGACACAGGUGGUCAGGUAGAGAAUACCAAGGCGCUUGAGAGAACUCGGGUGAAGGAACUAGGCAAAAUGGUGCCGUAACUUCGGGAGAAGGCACGCUGGUGUGUAGGUGAAGUCCCUGCGGAUGGAGCUGAGACCAGUCGAAGAUACCAGCUGGCUGCAACUGUUUAUUAAAAACACAGCACUGUGCAAACACGAAAGUGGACGUAUACGGUGUGACGCCUGCCCGGUGCCGGAAGGUUAAUUGAUGGGGUUAUCCGUAAGGAGAAGCUCUUGAUCGAAGCCCCGGUAAACGGCGGCCGUAACUAUAACGGUCCUAAGGUAGCGAAAUUCCUUGUCGGGUAAGUUCCGACCUGCACGAAUGGCGUAAUGAUGGCCAGGCUGUCUCCACCCGAGACUCAGUGAAAUUGAACUCGCUGUGAAGAUGCAGUGUACCCGCGGCAAGACGGAAAGACCCCGUGAACCUUUACUAUAGCUUGACACUGAACAUUGAGCCUUGAUGUGUAGGAUAGGUGGGAGGCUUUGAAGCGUGGACGCCAGUCUGCGUGGAGCCAACCUUGAAAUACCACCCUUUAAUGUUUGAUGUUCUAACGUUGGCCCCUUACCGGGGUUGCGGACAGUGUCUGGUGGGUAGUUUGACUGGGGCGGUCUCCUCCCAAAGCGUAACGGAGGAGCACGAAGGUUAGCUAAUCCUGGUCGGACAUCAGGAGGUUAGUGCAAUGGCAUAAGCUAGCUUGACUGCGAGCGUGACGGCGCGAGCAGGUGCGAAAGCAGGUCAUAGUGAUCCGGUGGUUCUGAAUGGAAGGGCCAUCGCUCAACGGAUAAAAGGUACUCCGGGGAUAACAGGCUGAUACCGCCCAAGAGUUCAUAUCGACGGCGGUGUUUGGCACCUCGAUGUCGGCUCAUCACAUCCUGGGGCUGAAGUAGGUCCCAAGGGUAUGGCUGUUCGCCAUUUAAAGUGGUACGCGAGCUGGGUUUAGAACGUCGUGAGACAGUUCGGUCCCUAUCUGCCGUGGGCGCUGGAGAAUUGAGGGGGGCUGCUCCUAGUACGAGAGGACCGGAGUGGACGCAUCACUGGUGUUCGGGUUGUCAUGCCAAUGGCACUGCCCGGUAGCUAAAUGCGGAAGAGAUAAGUGCUGAAAGCAUCUAAGCACGAAACUUGCCCCGAGAUGAGUUCUCCCUGAGACUUUAAGUCUCCUGAAGGAACGUUAAAGACGAUGACGUUGAUAGGCCGGGUGUGUAAGCGCAGCGAUGCGUUGAGCUAACCGGUACUAAUGAACCGUGAGGCUUAACCUU